rnacentral:rRNA from 1 species
UCAUUAUCGUGGGGGUCCUCGGGCCCUUUGCGUGAUGCAACCCUUGCCCUUUUUUUAGCAUCUAUCCGUUUCCUCGGCAGCCUCGCCUGCUAACGAGGACCUUCAGAAACCCUUUUGUAAUCUCGGUACGAAACUCGGAAAAGCACAAACGUUUUAAAACUUUCAACAAUGGAUCUCUUGGCUCUGGCAUCGAUGAAGAACGCAGCGAAAUGCGAUAAGUAGUGUGAAUUGCAGAAUUCAGUGAAUCAUCGAAUCUUUGAACGCACAUUGCGCCCUUUGGUAUUCCUUAGGGCAUGCCUGUUCGAGCGUCAUUUCAAACCCUCAAGCUCAGCUUGGUGAUGGGCAGUUAGUCUCCCCGCAGCUUCGUUGUUGUGGCGGACUUGCCUUAAAUUUACGGAGGGGCGAGCAUCUUCCCCGGCUCAAGACGCAGCAGACUUGCGUCGCCUGCCCGGGGAGGGAUGGUUACUUUCCCGUCAAGCCAACAGAACUCAAGUUUGACCUCGGAUCAGGUAGGGAUACCCGCUGAACUUAAGCAUAUCAAUA